rnacentral:rRNA from 1 species
CCUGAGAAACCCGAAAGAUCGAAUGGGGAGAUUCACCGUCAGCGAUGUCGGCUUCUCAGUGUUUCGUGAUGCGCGGCGCUCAUCCGGGCGUCGUCUCACGCGUGCACUGCGCUUUUAAUGUCCGGUUGCGUCGGCGUGCACUUCUCCCCUAGUAGGACGUCGCGACCCGUUGGGUGUCGGUCUACGGUCCGGGUUGUCGCCUGUCCCGUCGCUUCGGCGUCGCGGGUCAGACACCCGGUAGCCCGGCCGGCUGCUCGGCGGUACUCGCACGGUAUCUGGCCGCAAUCUCGAACUGCGUCUUAAGCCCGCCGCAAGCGCGGUCAGUGCACCUGGAGGUACGGACCUAGUGCCGUCCCCGGUCCUGGCCCGCUGUUCGCCGUGCGGAGUCCUCUGACAGGCCAUUUGACUUUGAUACCGGUCGGCGACGCUAUUGCUUUGGGUACUUUCAGG